UACGUAGGUGGCAAGCGUUGUCCGGAAUUAUUGGGCGUAAAGAGCUCGUAGGCGGUCUGUUGCGUCGGCUGUGAAAACCCGGGGCUCAACUCCGGGCCUGCAGCCGAUACGGGCAGACUAGAGUUCGGCAGGGGAGACUGGAAUUCCUGGUGUAGCGGUGAAAUGCGCAGAUAUCGGGAGGAACACCGGUGGCGAAGGCGGUUCUCUGGGCCUGACCUGACGCUGAGGAGCGAAAGCGUGGGGAGCGAACAGG
rnacentral:rRNA from 1 species